rnacentral:rRNA from 1 species
AUUGAACGCUGGCGGCAUGCCUUACACAUGCAAGUCGAACGGUAACGCGGGGCAACCUGGCGACGAGUGGCGAACGGGUGAGUAAUGCAUCGGAACGUGCCUGGUAGUGGGGGAUAACCGCUCGAAAGAGCAGCUAAUACCGCAUACGACCUGAGGGUGAAAGGGGGGGAUCGCAAGACCUCUCGCUAUCGGAGCGGCCGAUGGCGGAUUAGCUAGUUGGUGGGGUAAAGGCCUACCAAGGCGACGAUCCGUAGCAGGUCUGAGAGGACGACCAGCCACACUGGGACUGAGACACGGCCCAGACUCCUACGGGAGGCAGCAGUGGGGAAUUUUGGACAAUGGACGCAAGUCUGAUCCAGCCAUGCCGCGUGCGGGAAGAAGGCCUUCGGGUUGUAAACCGCUUUUGUCAGGGAAGAAAUCUUCUGAGUUAAUACCUCGGGAGGAUGACGGUACCUGAAAAAUAAGCACCGGCUAACUACGUGCCAGCCGCCGCUGUAAAAC